UUUACAGGAGAAAACCCCUCAGAAAUACAUAGGCUCAUUCUCUUGAGUGCUUUUCUGAUUCUUUCUCUUUAAGUUCAAAGCUAGAAAACAAAAGGCAAAAAAAAAAAAGAUUUCCAGCCUAAUUUUCCUUUCCAUUUUCUACUGGGUUACUCCAUGUUGCUGGGAUUUCUGAUUUGAGUUUGAAGUUGCUGUGUUUUUGGUUUUCUACUGUUGUUUAUUUGCUGCUUCUUCUUCCCAGUUUGUUAGAGAUUUAUUUUCUUCUUUUGCUUUGCUGCUUCAAGGUCUGAUUCGCAAGGAUAACCCAGUGGCUAUUCUCUUGCAAAUUAAAGGCCAUUUGGAUGAACACUAUGGCACAACCAUCUUAUGAAGAAUUGCACAUGAACUAGAAGCAUAGACUUGUUUUAGAUUUAGUCAAAUCUUGUAUAAUUGCAUAUGUAGCAAAAACUUACAUAAUUAAUUUCUCAGCUAUGUAUUUUAAUUGAACUCAAUUCACAUGAGUUUUCUAGAUAUAAGCUAAUAAUUGUAAAUUUUUUGAAAGUAGGAGGUAUGCCUAACUUA